AACCAUGAGAUCAUGACCCGAGCUGAAAUCAGGAGUCAGACAUUUAACUGACUGAGCCACAUAGGCACCCCAUCCUCUCGUGUUUUUUAGAUGAGCAUUGCUAUUGGUUUCUUUUGGACCAGAGCUUGAUUGUACAGAUUUUAUAAGUUUCAUUCUGGGAUGGAAGCUGUAUAUGAAAUGGUGAUUCUCAGAAAGACAUCUGAACAGCUGCAGACCUCUAAUAGUAUUACUUAGUUCCUCGCCCUUCUCAUCAGUAGCAUGUUUCCCUUACUAUCACAUUGUCUCCCAAAUUCAGAGAGGAAGCUUUACCCUCUAAACCCCAUUCAGGGAUGAAAUGGCCCUUGUUGUGACUAUCUCAAUUGUUUUAUUUGUUGAAUGAAAAAAUGAAUCAUCAACAGACAUUAAUUGGGCUCCUGCUCUGUGUUCUCCAUGGACUCAGCGUAGGGAUUUUACAACGUUUGUGGUUAUAUCUCUAAGCAAAAUACAUUCAGUAAUAAAAAAUCUAAACAUAUUCAGUUUUCAUUUCCUCUUUUCUUAAAGCAAUAUAAAAAUGUUCUUUGGACAAUUCUCCAUUUAAGGCUCAGAGUAGUGAACUUACGGAUUCAGAGAAUGGAUUUCUGUGACUAGAAUGAUUAAUGGGAGAUUAUAUUUUAGACCUUAUGUAUUUUCAGUGGACCUUAUGUAAGUAGCCAUCCUAGAGGGCAGUAAGGGGAAGAAGGAUUGGGAGAGGAAGCUCUGAGUAAAACAGCAAAGCAGUACGGUAAGAGUCUGGGCCUUGGGACUAAAUAGCCUAGGCUCAAAUCUGCUCCUGAAUGCUCACCAGUGUGGUGUUGAGCAUGUUUUGUCGUCUCUCUGGGACUUGCCUCUCUUAUUUAAAGUAGGGGUAACAAUUUCUUCUGUGAUGAUUUGGGUGGGGAAGGGGGUGGGUGUAAGGAUUUAAUGGGAUUAUUUAUGUGCAUUGCUUAGAACAAGUCUGGAAUGAGCUAAAUGCUAUUAUCAACUGUCAUUGCUGCUGAUAAUGAUGUUGACCAUGUCUGGGAUUAAAAGAAGAUAGUUAACCAGAGGUGCUUAUGUUUUACAUUGUCAAUGAGGCUCUUGGGGUGUGAGAAAGAAAGGGAAACUAACUGACCUGAAGGUUUUCAAUGGUAUGCUAGUAUGAAGUCAACUCUGCCUUCUUUUUCUUCUCUGCCAAAUAGGUUGGGAAACCAGAUGAAUUUUGUCCAUGCCCUGAUCACUAAUCUAUUGCCUUUGCUCUUAUUUCCAAAUAGAAACCUGUUGAAAAGUUGUGUUACACCUGAAUAAAGGUUGUGCUAAAAAUGUAGAAAAAUGCUUUGGAGUUGGUCAAAACUGGACUUGAAACCUGACUCAACUGCUUACUAGCUGUGUGAUCUAAGGCAUGUUACUUAACCUCACUGAACCUCAGUUUCUUCAUUGAAUAUAAUAAUUAAUUUGCAGGGUUUUUCUGAGGAUAUUUGUGAAAUGUAUGUCAUAAGCACUCUCUAAGUCAUAGCUGUCAUUGUUAGUUCUUGGGAUACCCACCACGUGACAGAAACAACAGCAGGCCCUGGUGGCUGGGAGGACUGCAUGGAUCCAACCUCAACCUGGAGUUGUGCUCUUCUGAAGAAAUCCUACUCGGAUGGAUAUAAUACAACCUGCUAAGUGUCCUCGCACUUAUCAGGUUGUAUUAUCAUUGUCCGUGUCUAUGGCUCUCGUCUACCAGACUCUAAAUUCCUUACAGGCAAGGACAGUGCCUUGUUCAUCUUUGUAUUCGGUGCCUAAUCCCGUGCACAUUGUAGGCCUCAUUAAAUGUUUGUUGAAUGAAAAAAUGAAUCAUCAACAGACAUUAAUUGGGCGCCUGCUCUGUGAUCUCCAUGGGCUCAGCUUUUCCCUGCCAGUUGCCUACAACGUCCAAGCUGUCUUCAGUAUACUUUCUCCUGGAGCUUACUUCUAUCUUCUCACUCUUUUGCUGAGGACUUUUUCUGUGUAGUGCAAGGAUAGCAGAUAUACUUCAUCUCAAGUACCAUCUCAAUCGGUCGAUAGUACCUGCCUCGAUUAUGUUUCACAAAAAGGAUGCUGAAGCCAGGUCUCAGUUCAGUGCGAAAGAGAGUUACAAUUAAUUAGUGAUGUUUGCUGAGGGUGGGAGAAGGGUGAAUAGCAGCCUAAGUGCCGCAUAUAUGUUAUAUUUAAUAUUAUGUUUUCCAUGAAAUACUCUGUUUCUAUGCCUGCAUUUUAGUCUUGGCUACUUGCAGAUGUUGCAUGGCUGCUGUUGCUGCUGCUGCUGCCGCUACUACUACAACAGUUGCUGCUGGUUGCUCCUUGGGUAGGACCAAAGUGAUCAUUGAUCAGAAACUUCAUCCUCACAGUCUGGGAUUUGCUCCUGUGGCUGGUAUUCACAGUUUACCCUUUCAACUUUACCUCAGCUAUCCCCUUACCUACAGUGACAGGUAGGCCUCCACUUUCCAUUUACCACUCAACAGGCUCCUAUUUCCUUUUCCUUCUUUAGUCUGAUUAAUGACUCUUGUUCGAUGAGAAGCCUUCUUUCUGGUAGAAGAUGCGACAACUAGAGUACAAGCUAAAAGAUUCCGUCAGGGCACUACAGUGAGUCGUAUAAACUUCCCUUUAAUGUGGGAGAAAACAGAGUGUGCUUGAAGAUUUGGGGGCAGGAAGAACAGAGAAGGGAGUCGUUGUUGGGGGAGAGAAAGAUGCUAACAGAUGGAAUAAGUUUCUGAAAAAUGAUGGAGUGAGGGAGGGUGAAACGUAUGGCUCUCAAAUAUGUAUGGGGAGAGGGAAAGUCUCAGAUGAAAGUAAUUACCUCCACACUGGAGCAUAGGGAUAGGAGUCAGGAGGAACAUGUGACAAGGGUGUUGAAAAUUUGUAAUUCUUGAGGUGGAUGAUGGAGAGGAAGCUGACCAGAGAGGAUUAUGGGGACAAACAAGAGUCCAACGGAUAUUUGGGCCAAAAGGCUAGAGUGGGGCCUUUCAGUCUAUUAAAAUGAGAUACUAUUAUAUUAAAAUUGUAUAUUAAAGUGAGAAACUGGAAACUCAGGAAACUUUAAAGGGAUCUUGGGCCACCCAUCACAAGUAACUUGAUUGCCUGGGACUGACCUUUAUUGGUUGAGGGAUGGACAGCUAGCAAGAGAGGGGCUACACAGAAAUGAAUUUGAAACUCCAGACUAUAUGUGGAAGGAAGUUAGAUCAGAAGUGAGCUCAAAGUCUGUGAAUGAAAAAAGGCCCUAGUGUGAUCAAGAUGGGUGUUGGGUAGUUGGAAAAUUGGAAUGAUAGAACCUGUAAAAAGUGGAUUUUGAGAUUUUAAGAUUGCAAAGCCGGAGGGGUCAAGAUAACUUGUGAAGCAAGGAUGUCAGAUGGCCAGUUACAUAAAUACUGAAGUGACCAAGAACUGUAGCAAAAGCCAAGCUGGGAAUGAAUGCUGGGGGCCAGAUAUAACAGGCUUCGAUGCCUGAGGAAUGAUUUAGAGAUUGGUACAUGGCAACUGUGUAGGUGCAAGAAAAGAAGGAUGUAGUGGGAUAGUUGUAUGAGCCACGGAAGAGUGGUAGGGAUCAUUAGAAGUUACCAAAACCAGGAUCUGCACAUUGCACUGAGGCCUUGGCUUGCAGAAUGCUGAGCUAAAAUGAUCCCGUCCUCUAUCCGGUGCUUGGCUCUAUACCCAGCACCUUGCUGUUUGCUAACCAUUUACCCCUUCUGGGUCUGUCACAUAUCAGGUGUGAGAGAAUGAGCAGCAUUCCCAAGCAAGGACAGCUAGGGGAGCUGCUGGCCCUUGGAACUGAUGGAAUACUGUGGUCGUCUCAAUAGACUGGUCAGCUUAAAGUGGCAUCAAAAGAUUUCGUUCAGACCCAGAUUUUUCCUUGACCUUGACCUAACUUUAUCCACAUGGUACAAGCUUGUGUUGGCUGUUCAUAAUGAACUUUGGCUUCUGAGCCUCUAACUUGAGAAAUAUGCUAGAACUGUCCUUUAAAAAACAACAGGCACAGUACGUUAAAAAUACAGAUUGAUUAGCUAGAACCAGAGGGUCUUGUUACCUAAUUGAGCUUUUAAGAUAAAGGAUAGACCAAAGAAAGCUCCCAUCAAUGGGUGAGUAACAACAACACUUGGUGACAACUACUCUAAGAUCAGGAUACAUCUAGUUUAGUGGCCAUAUUGUACAUCCCUGUGCUGUUGGGAAGGAGAGCUGGAAAUUGAUUCAGAGAGAUGUCCCUUAGGACUUGGUAUGUAAAGUUUAGGAGAAAGUUUCUGUGAAUCCUGUGACAUUGCAUGUCAUCGUUUUUCCUCUGUUACAGUCUUUGAAUGAGUCAAUAUUUCAAUGAAGGGGUAGGAGCCCCUGAGAUAGAGUGCCCAGACCCUCAGAUGAUGCAUCCCCUCCUUUGGAGGCCGCUUUAUAUUUAUUCCUCAGGAGGAUCUGGUAGAAGACUUCAUGUGAGAGAGAAGAAAAAGAAGCAGAGAAUGACUACAGCCUGUCUUCAUAUGGGCUUCACAAAACUUGACUCAACAGAGGGAUCACUCUCUUGAGACUCUCCAGACCACAGGCCAUCUGUAACAGCCUUCAUCUGAGAGGAGCCUUGUUGUGAAUGAGUGAAUGAAGCCUCAGUGAGUGAGUGGAGUGACAUCCAUGUUUUUCUAUGGAUAUAAGGAGAAAUAAGGAAGCUAUGAAAUCUCAUUAUGAAGUAACAAAAAUUUGACAUUUUAGUGGAUAUUGGACCUAGAGGCCUACAUGAAUGAAGGAAGCAAACCUGACAUUCUGAUGUCUGAGUGAAGAUAGGAGUGAACUCCUUAUUGCCCUUAGUAAUGGAGGAAGAGAGGGGAGAAAAAUGUGGGAGGUCAUAACAAUUCUUCACUUCAGUGGAGGAAGUGCUAAGACUUACUUCAUAAACCAGUAACUUCUUAAGGUGGAUUGGAGAAGAGUUGUUGCACUGCACUAUUUCUUUUGCUAUUUGUGUGAAGUCACUGCCAAGCACUCUUCUCAGGUAGAGCUGCCUUUGUGGAGGUUUCCAUUGACUCCUAAUGAGGAACAACCUGGAACAAGGUUUGCAACUUAGAACUCGGAGUUUUAAAGGGGUCGAGGACAGAGGAGAUAACACAGGUAGCGCCAGAUAGCCUAGUUUUUCCUAUAGGAUGGGUAGGGUAGAGGCAGCAGGCACAAUGAUUCUAGGCAACUCCAAACCCCUGGCAAGGCAUAAGGAAACCGUACAUAAUGAAAGGUCAGCCCUUAGACCUAUUGAUUUGUCAUUCCCCAGAGCAUGAUAUAUUAUCUAGAAGAACAAGGAGAGCUGCUUAGGAGAAGAUUCUAAAAGAUCUUUCAGAGAACAGAUUUAGAAGAGGGAGAGCUUCCCAUUAUGUAAUAUGGGCAUUACAGCUUUUAAAGACCUCUGUUCCCUACCUAGAUCACAGAGGUUGAUACUAGUGUCAGUCUGUAGCUGAAUAGACCAGUGUUAGUUUAGAAGUAUCAUGCUCUUGGAAAGAUCCUGCCACUCUCUCUGACAGGUGUUCAGCUGCAAUACAAGUCUAGUACUUGAAGAAGCAAAGAGGAUAACAAGCCUCCAGGGGAUGACAGUUCAGUCUUCUAAGUGAACAUAGCAACAGAAGAGAUCACAGACUUAGCUGGAUUGGGCUGAGCUUGUUUGUUCGUUCAAAAUUUAAAAAAGACUUUUUUUUCUUGAUGAUAAAAGUAACAUGAUCACUGUUGAAAAAUGAAAUGAAUGGUAUAAAUUAAAAAGUAAAGAACUCCUGUACUCUUACAACCGAGAAAACAACUGAACAUUUGAGUGUGUUUCCCUUUACUCUUGUAAAAAGGAGUGUAUGGAACAGAAUUAUUAAAGUUUUUAUUUUAAUUCCAGUUAGUCAACAUACAGCGGUCUGUUUCACGUGUAUAACUUAAAA